GCUUCCUUAGCAUAGUUGGUUAAUGCACUUGAUUAGUAAUCAAGAGACCCUCAGUUCAAAUCUGAGAGGAAGCUCCA
rnacentral:tRNA from 1 species